GACGAACGCUGGCGGCGUGCUUAACACAUGCAAGUCGAACGGAAAGGCCCUGCUCUUGUGGGGUGCUCGAGUGGCGAAAGGGUGAGUAACACGUGAGUAACAUGCCCUUGACUUUGGGAUAUCUUCAGGAAACUGGGGCUAUUACCGGAUAGGAGCUCCUGCGGCAUGGUGGGGGUUGGAAAGUUUCGGCGGUGGGGGAUGGACUCGCGGCUUAGCAGCGUGUUGGUGGGGUAGUGGCUUACCAAGGCUUUGACGGGUAGCCGGCCUGAGAGGGUGACCGGCCACAUUGGGACUGAGGUACGGCCCAGACUCCAACGGGAGGCAGCAGUGGGGAAUAUUGCACAAUGGGCGGACGCCUGAUGCAGCAACGCCGCGUGCGGAAUGACGGCCUUCGGGUUAUAAACCGCUUUCGCCUGUGACGAAGCGUGAGUGACGGUAAUGGGUAAAGAAGCACCGGCUAACUACGUG
rnacentral:rRNA from 1 species